GACGAACCGUGCAAACGUUGUUCGGAAUCACUGGGCUUAAAGGGCGCGUAGGCGGGCCAUCAAGUCCGGGGUGAAAUCCCCCAGCUUAACUGGGGAAGUGCCUUGGAUACUGGUGGCCUCGAGGAGGGUAGGGGCAUCUGGAACGUUGGGUGGAGCGGUGAAAUGCGCAGAUAUCAGGAGGAACACCGAUGGCGAAGGCAGGUCUCUGGGCAUUAACUGACGCUGAGGAGCGAAAGCAUGGGGAGCGAACAGG
rnacentral:rRNA from 1 species